AUGGAGGGUGUCGAAGAGAAGAAGGUUCCUGCUGUGCCAGAAACCCUUAAGAAAAAGCGAAGGAAUUUUGCAGAGCUGAAGAUCAAUCGCCUGAGAAAGAAGUUUGCCCAAAAGGUGCUUUGAAAGGCAAGGAGGAAGCUUAUCUAUCACAAGGAAUAUAAGCAGAUGCACAGAACUGAAAUUCAAAUGGCAAGGAUGGCAAGAAAAACUAGCAACUUCUAUGUACCUGCAGAACUCAAAUUGGCAUUUAUCAUUAGGAUCAGAGGUAUCAAUGGUGUGAACCCAAAGGUCUGAAAGGUGUUGCAGCUUCUUUGCCUUCAUCAAAUCUUUAAUGGAACUUUUGUGAAGCUCAACAAGGCUUCAAUUAACAUGCUGAGGAUUGUAGAACCAUAUAUUGCAUAGGAGUACCCAAAUCUGAAGUCAGUAAAUGAACUAAUCUACAAGCAUGGUUAUGGCAAAAUCAAUAAGAAGUGAGUUGCUCUGACAGACAACACUUUGAUUGCUCGACCUCUUGGUAAAUAUGGCAUCACCUGCAUGGAGGAUCUGAUCAUGAGAUCUAUACUGUUGGAAAAUGCUUCAAAGAAGCAAAUAACUUCCUGUGGCCCUUCAAAUUAUCUUCUGCAUUAAGUGGAAUGAAGAAAAAACUACACAUUUUGUAGAAGGUGGAGAUGGUGGCAACAGGGUGGACCAGAUCAACACGCUUAAUAGAAGAAUGAACUAA
rnacentral:lncRNA from 1 species